rnacentral:rRNA from 1 species
CAUACGGGAGGCAGCAGUGAGGAAUAUUGGUCAAUGGACGCAAGUCUGAACCAGCCAUGCCGCGUGCAGGAAGACGGCUCUAUGAGUUGUAAACUGCUUUUGUACGAGGGUAAACGCAGAUCCGCGUAUCUGUCUGAAAGUAUCGUACGCAUAAGUAUCGGCUAACGCCGUGCCAGCAGCCGCGGUAAUACGGAGUAUUCAAGCGUUAUCCGGAUUUAUGGGGUUUUAAGGGUGCGUAGGCGGUCGGAUAAGUUAGAGUUGAAAUCCCGAGGCUCAACGUCGGAAUUGCUUCUGAUACGUUUCGGCUAGAGAGUAGUUGCGGUAGGCGGAAUGUAUGGUGUAGCGGGGAAAUGCUUAG